GUCCUCAUCGGCUAGCUGGUCUAGGCCUCCGGAUUCUCACUCCGGGAACGCGGGUUCGACUCCCGCUGGGGACG
rfam:Minicystis rosea strain DSM 24000, complete genome.